rnacentral:rRNA from 1 species
UAAACGAUGGAUACUAGCUGUUCGGUUUUCGGACUGAGUGGCUAAGCGAAAGUGAUAAGUAUCCCACCUGGGGAGUACGUUCGCAAGAAUGAAACUCAAAGGAAUUGACGGGGGCCCGCACAAGCGGUGGAGCAUGUGGUUUAAUUCGAUGAUACGCGAGGAACCUUACCAGGGCUUAAAUGUAGAUUGACAGGUUUGGAAACAGACUUUUCUUCGGACAAUUUACAAGGUGCUGCAUGGCUGUCGUCAG